rnacentral:rRNA from 1 species
UUCCGGUUGAUCCUGCCGGACCCUAUUGCUAUCGGGGUAAGACUAAGCCAUGCAAGUUGUGCGCUUCUUAGCCAUGUUGGAAGAGCAGCGUACGGCUCAGUAACACGUAGUUAAUCUGCCCUUAGGACGAACAUAACCCUGGGAAACUAGGGCUAAUAUUCGAUAGAUGGAAACGCCUGGAAUGGUCUUUCGUCGAAAGGUUCUCGGAAACAUGCUUCUGAGAAUGCCUAAGGAUGAGACUGCGGCCGAUCAGGUAGUUGGUGGGGUAACGGCCCACCAAGCCGAUAACCGGUACGGGCCGUGAGAGCGGUAGCCCGGAGAUGGGCACUGAGACAAGGGCCCAGGCCCUACGGGGCGCAGCAGUCGCGAAAACUCCGCAAUGCACGAAAGUGUGACGGGGCUACCCCGAGUGCCGUCCGCUGAGGAUGGCUUUUCCUCGGUGUAACUAGCCGGGGGAAUAAGGAGAGGGCAAGACUGGUGUCAGCCGCCGCGGUGAUACCAGCUCUCCGAGUGGUAGGGAUGAUUAUUGGGCUUAAAGCGUCCGUAGCCGGCUUAGCAAGUCUCCUGUUAAAUUCAGCGACCUAAUCGUUGAGCCGCGGGAGAUACUACUAGGCUAGGAGGCGGGAGAGGCCGACGGUACUUCCGGGGUAGGGGUGAAAUCUUAUAAUCCUUGUAGGACCACCAGUGGCGAAGCGUCAGACUGGAACGUGCCUGACGGUGAGGGACGAAAGCCAGGGGAGCGAACCGGAUUAGAUACCCGGGUAGUCCUGGCCGUAAACGAUGCAUACUAGUGAUGGCAUGGCCAUGAGCCGUGUCAGGUGCCGUAAGGGAAACCGUUUAGUGGUGCCGCCUGGGAAGUACGGUCGCAAGGCUAAAACUUAAAGGAAUGGCCGGGGGGAGCACCUCAUGGGGUGAGCCUGCGGUUCAUUGGAAUCACGCCG